rnacentral:rRNA from 1 species
UACAGAGGGUGCGAGCGUUAAUCGGAAUUACUGGGCGUAAAGCGUGCGCAGGCGGUGAUGUAAGACAGAUGUGAAAUCCCCGGGCUCAACCUGGGAACUGCAUUGUGACUGCAUCGCUGGAGUACGGCAGAGGGGGGGAUGGAAUUCCGCGUGUAGCAGUGAAAUGCGUAGAUAUGCGGAGGAACACCGAUGGCGAAGGCAAUCCCCUGGGCCUGUACUGACGCUCG